GUCCGUAUGGCCUACCAGGCGACGACGGGUAGCCGGCCUGAGAGGGCGACCGGCCACACUGGGACUGAGACACGGCCCAGACUCCUACGGGAGGCAGCAGUGGGGAAUAUUGCGCAAUGGGCGGAAGCCUGACGCAGCGACGCCGCGUGGGGGAUGACGGCCUUCGGGUUGUAAACCUCUUUCGACCUUGACGAAGCUUUCGGGUGACGGUAGGGGUAGAAGAAGCACCGGCCAACUACGUGCCAGCAGCCGCGGCCG
rnacentral:rRNA from 1 species